UACGAAGGGGGCUAGCGUUGCUCGGAAUCACUGGGCGUAAAGGGUGCGUAGGCGGGUCUUUAAGUCAGGGGUGAAAUCCUGGAGCUCAACUCCAGAACUGCCUUUGAUACUGAGGAUCUUGAGUUCGGGAGAGGUGAGUGGAACUGCGAGUGUAGAGGUGAAAUUCGUAGAUAUUCGCAAGAACACCAGUGGCGAAGGCGGCUCACUGGCCCGAUACUGACGCUGAGGCACGAAAGCGUGGGGAGCAAACGGG
rnacentral:rRNA from 1 species